UACGUAGGGAGCAAGCGUUGUCCGGAAUUACUGGGCGUAAAGAGUGUGUAGGCGGUGUUCUAAGUCUGUUGUGAAAUCUCCCGGCUUAACUGGGAGGGUGCGGCGGAAACUGGAAUGCUAGAGGAUGGGAGAGGUAAGCGGAAUUCCUGGUGUAGCGGUGAAAUGCGUAGAGAUCCGGAGGAACACCAGUGGCGAAGGCGACACGCUGGGCCGUACCUGACACUGAUGCGCGACAGCAUGGGGAGCAAACAGG
rnacentral:rRNA from 1 species